GCCAGUGUGGUGUAGUGGUAGAGGAUUGGACUAUGACUCUAGAGACCAGGGUUUGAAUCCCUGCUCAGCCA